UCUGUGGGAAUUAUUUCCUCCCAUUGGUAUUAGAUUAUAUUUUUCCAAGUCAACUCUUCCUGGCUGCCCUUCAAGGUUCUAAAGAUUCUCUACUGUGGUAGUGUAACUAGUAAGAGGCAAAACCAUGAGAAUCAGAGGAGAACUGUCCUUCACGAUGCUAUGCAAUCCCCAGGAGAAGCACGUUGAAAGCUGAAAGAAGACUGACUGAGAUGUGUUGGCGGGCUUCUCAAGAUCCCUAUCGAUGGCAGAAGGCUGACAUGAGUUGCCCAUAGUCCAGGUAAUUAUAAAUACAACCAAAAUAAAGUAUGGAAAUCAGUAUUUUCACCUAUCUUAA
rnacentral:lncRNA from 1 species